rnacentral:lncRNA from 1 species
UUUUUUUUUUGCAAGAAGCUGGAAGCCAUUCUGUUGGAGCCCAGCCCACAGACUGGUGUUCUGUGCAUUCAAAGCAAGUCUCCUCUGUGAGUCAAUCUUCUCUAGAAACACCCUUAAAGGUGCAUCUAAAGUUUUCCCAUAAGAGAGCCUCUGGAAAUGUCCAUUUUCUACCAUGACAGAAAUGAUUAUAGGCUGCAACAAACCCUCAGCAAUUUUAAUAAGCUACUCUGAGAUCUGGCUGAAAUGUCACAGCACCUGGCAGUAUUCAGUAAGGUCUCUGGAUAGAGGCCUCAAUCCUCCUUUGUGUUGUUCAAGUGCCUGCAGAUGAGAGACGUGCCAGUCUUUCCUUAUAUCAGACAGAGAUUUCUUCAGAGCUUCAUAACUGCCGAAAUAACCUGUCAUGUUUUAGAGGCUGCUACCUGGAAGGAUUUACUAUCCUCCAUGCGAAUAUAAUAAAGAAGUUCUAUGAUAUUCUUUGAAAAUCUAUAGAUUGAAUUUCUUAAGAGAAGUACUGUUAUGGGAUGGAAGUUCUUGUGCUCACAGCUUGGAUUCAUCUGUGAAGAGUGUCCUCAACUGAGGAACUGUCUACAUCAAAUGGGCCUGUAAGCAUGCCUGUGGGGCCUGGGUUUCCUUGAUCCUUUCUGAUGCCCAGCAUAUUGUGAGCAGUGUCAUCCCUAGGCAGGUGAUACUAGGCUGCAUUACAAAGUUAGCUAAAUAUAACUUACUGAGAAACUCAGUAAGCCACAUUUCUCUCUGGAUUUUACUUCAAAUUCCUGUUUAACUCCUAUGAUGGAUUGUAGCCUGUAAACUAAUAAACCCUUUCUUUCCUUGUGUUA